rnacentral:rRNA from 1 species
CCUGGCUCAGGACGAACGCUGGCGGCGUGCUUAACACAUGCAAGUCGAACGGAAAGGCCCUGCUUGCAGGGUGCUCGAGUGGCGAACGGGUGAGUAACACGUGGGUGAUCUGCCCCUUACUUUGGGAUAAGCCUGGGAAACUGGGUCUAAUACUGGAUAGGACCAUGCUGUAGGUGGUGUGGUGGAAAGAUUUUUCGGUAAGGGAUGAGCUCGCGGCCUAUCAGCUUGUUGGUGGGGUAAUGGCCUACCAAGGCGUCGACGGGUAGCCGGCCUGAGAGGGUGGACGGCCACAUUGGGACUGAGAUACGGCCCAGACUCCUACGGGAGGCAGCAGUGGGGAAUAUUGCACAAUGGGCGCAAGCCUGAUGCAGCGACGCCGCGUGGGGGAUGACGGCCUUCGGGUUGUAAACUCCUUUCAGCCAUGACGAAGCCCUUGUGGUGACGGUAGUGGUAGAAGAAGCACCGGCUAACUACGUGCCAGCAGCCGCGGUAAU